rnacentral:rRNA from 1 species
GAUGAACGCUGGCGGCGUGCCUAAUACAUGCAAGUCGAGCGAACAGACGAGGAGCUUGCUCCUCUGACGUUAGCGGCGGACGGGUGAGUAACACGUGGAUAACCUCCCUAUAAGACUGGGAUAACUUCGGGAAACCGGAGCUAAUACCGUAUAAUAUCUUGAACCGCAUGGUUCAAUAGUGAAAGACGGUUUUGCUGUCACUUAUAGAUGGAUCCGCGCGGCAUUGGCUAGUUGUUACGUUACAGGCUUACCAAGGCAAGGAUGCGUAGCCGACCUGAGAGGGGGAUAGGCCGCACGGGAACGGGAACACGGUCCAGAGUCCUACGGGAGGCAGCAGUAGGGAAUCUGACGCAAUAGGCGAAAGCCUGACAGAGCAACGCCGAGUGAGUGAUGACAGUGUUCGGAGCGUGAUACUCUGUUACUAGGGAAGAACAAAUGUGUAAGUAACUAUACACGUAUUGACGGUACCUAGUCAGAAAGCCACGGCUAACUACGUA